GUUGAUUAAUUAAUACUAUUGAUGAUAUUAUAAAUUAUUUAUUUAUUUAUGAAUGAGUGUUAACAGUCAUUUGAAUGAGCCAUUGAAGAAUAUGCCAAUCCAUUUUAAUCAGCACCACCUGUAUGCUCUCUCUAUCUCUCUCCUUCUCUCUUCUCCUCUUUUUCAUAUUUUUGCUCAAUUCUUCAAUUGUUAAGUGUUACAGUAUCAAGGUGUCAUUUUGGCGGUAGUUCAUGUUAAAGUGUCAAUAGCUGCAGCUGCUAUCUAUUUCAUGUUUAGUCUCGUUCAGUACUGGCACUGUCUCUGUGUUUGUAGUAUCUUCUUAAGUUCACUGUAAUACCUGUCAUUACUUCAAUAGAGCUUUAUGAGGUCCUGCUGCACAUGUACCUGUGUCAAGGUGUUAUGACAUGUAUUUGCUAAUUGGUGUGGAUUUGAAGUGUGAAGAUAGUCCACAGUUGGGUACCAUGGCAACUGUGUACUAGCUGCUGUGGUUACUGGUUGUUAUUGGUGUGGUCUGACUGGUUGUAAAUACUGGUCUGACUGGUAUCAUAAUAUACUAUAUGGUUUCAUCAGGUGAUU